GUUCCUUCGAAGAGUCGAGUUGUUUGGGAAUGCAGCUCUAAGUGGGUGGUAAAUUCCAUCUAAAGCUAAAUAUUGGCGAGAGACCGAUAGCGAACAAGUACAGUGAUGGAAAGAUGAAAAGAACUUUGAAAAGAGAGUGAAAAAGUACGUGAAAUUGUUGAAAGGGAAGGGCUUGAGAUCAGACUUGGUAUUUUGUAUGUUACUCUCUCGGGGGUGGCCUCUACAGUUUACCGGGCCAGCAUCAGUUUGGGCGGUAGGACAAUUGCAAAGAAAUGUGGCACUGC
rnacentral:rRNA from 1 species